GGGAUAGCUCAGUUGGUAGAGCAGAGGACUGAAAAUCCUC
rnacentral:tRNA from 4 species